rnacentral:rRNA from 1 species
UGAAGCUAAUCCCUGAAAUUUCGCCUCAGUUCAGAUCGGAGUCUGCAACUCGACUCCGUGAAGUUGGAAUUGCUAGUAAUCGCGAAUCAGCAGGUCGCGGUGAAUACGUUCUCGGUUCUUGUACACACCGCCCGUCAAGUAGGGAAAGUUGGGAGUACCCGAAGACGUUUUCUUAACCUGCAAGGGAGAGAGACGGCGAAGGUAAUACCAGCGAUCAAUGCUAAGUCGUAACAAGGUAUCCGUACCCGAAGGUGCGGAUGGAUCACCUCCUUU